UCUUUUUAAAGGCGAAUCAAGUCAAGGAGAGAUUGGCAACACAGACAGUGCUGUGCCACUUGAAAAAUCGUCAAGGACACUCUUGGGUGGAUCUGACGCAUCAAGUAUGGUCGGCAAUACUGACGCUGACACCGGAGAGGGUACACAAACGGAAGAGGCUGGUGCAAAAGAUGUCAGUAAUUUUGAAAACAUGGACAGGAGUCAAUUCCUGAGAGGUUUAAGAAAGCCGCCACCACCACUACCGUCUACAACAGAGGAGAAGAAAGAGGAGCAAACUGAGAAAUAAAAGGCAUUCCACCACUAUUGUAGUCUAUCAACGUUUAGUUUUGGAGAUUUUGUGUUUGUGUAUGGAGAAUAACAGACAAACCUAGCCAUCGUGUUUUUUCUGAGGAAACAUAUGUAUCAAGAUUACAUUUUGUACAAAAUCAUAUAUCUUUAACACUGAUUUAUCACUAAUUACCCAGGAAUGCUAUAUAUUAAAGAUGUAAUGUGUUUGGAAAUGGAAACAUUUGGAAUUUUGACAUCAUAUAAUUUUGUAAUUGGUUUUAUCAGUCAUUUUUCUACUUCAAAUUUGAAUGCUUUUAAACGUUUACAAAUCACUCGCAUGAAUAAGGAUUGGAGUUACUUGUAUCAUAUGUUCUCAAUAUGUUUUAUAAGUCGUAAAAGGGUAUUUAGAAAUAGUGUAAACCUAUUCGCACGUUUUGUUAAUGAAUAAAAAUAAAAUACAACAUAACGAAACUGCAUAUUAUGUAAGUGCUACAGGAAAUGUUUUAUUUUAAAUUAAUACUAAGCAUACUUUAUAAAUAAUUAAUUAACCAACGAGUUUGAAAAUUGAAGCUCGUAUGUUUCUGAAUUAAAUUUUUAACUUUGAUAUUAAAUUAAAAUGGUGGUUUAGUAAUCCAAGAAUAAAUUUAAUCAAAGUUGAAAUGACAGUUAUUGUGGCUACAAAGAAAUAUUGUGAAUGUCUUGAUUACAUUUCAACGAAAUUUUUAUCAAAAUUGAAAAUAUGACAUUGCGUAGUUUGUCGUGUUAUCAGUACUUUUCAAGGUCUCUGUAGUUUAAGAUUAUAGUGUAUAAUAGGGUAUUAAUUUGUUUUUUAUUUUUGUCUUAGUGAUCACAAUGUAUUCAUUUCUCAUCAUGUAACGCCAUUGUCUAAGCAUAUAAAUCGUUUGUUUUUUGCCAUUUAAUAUUGCCACUUAUUUUUGGUUUAGGGCUUUUUUACAUUGAAAAUUCAGGUAAUUUAAAUUUUAUUCCGUUGGUGAAUUUUAUUGAAAUAUUAUAAUGCGUCAUGUAAUGAGUGGAAAUGGUACGAUUCAGUUAAUUUAAAUCUUCUUUAAUUACAAUUGUUACUGUUUCUUAUUCUUUAUACAUAUUUUUGUUCAGAACAUAUCUAAGUGUAAAGUAUAUUUUGUUAUGUCACCCGAAGAAACUUGGAUACAUUUUCCUUAGAACCUUUCUUUAAAAUAGUUUUUGUUUCUUUAAGGUAUAUUAGUAAAGCUUCAUUCAUAGUAUUAAAAAAUCAUCGAAGUGUUCAACCGUUGCAUCUUAAACGUUAUGUUGUCUUGUGUUAUCCUACAUUUGGAUUUUAGUGACUUUGUAAUAAUUUGUGUUAUGGAACGAAUCACGUGUAAAUGAUCACAUGAUUAGUGAAUAACCCACUAGUAGGAAUAUCCAUAUAUAUAGGAACGGAUGUUUGUUAAAAUUAAAUCAAAGAAUGAGUUGUUUUGGACAAAAUGGUUCGCUUUUUGGUGUAUAAGUCCAAACAGUAAUGACCAGUUCAGAUAAAAUUUCAGCAUAUCUUGAAAAGGUCAUUUUAAUGCCAUUUAAGCUUCAAACAUGCUUUUUUUUCAAAAGCUUUUUUGGUGCCUUUUUAAGUUUCCAAUAAGUUAUUCAUUGACCAUAUAACUGAAACAGCGUUCGCUUGUUUUGCAUUUUUGUAAUUUAUACAUUUACAGCGAAUUAGUUUUUUGUCUUAUUCAUUUCUGAGGCAUAUUGUGGCUUCAACUCAGUAAACCUGCUAAACCUGGAACAGAUAUAGAGUCAGGUGAAACUGCAAUUUAGUGCUGCUUGACCAGACUUUAUACUAAUGGAAAAAUCUUUGUAUUUUGUUUCUGAAAUCCUUUAAAAUUGAAAAAUCAAAACAGGGCAAGUCAUUAACAAACGAGAUGUUAUAUCAACAUAAUAUUGAUUUGUUUAUUUUUUUUAUAACAAAGUGGGUUUUAUACUUAUAAUUUUUGACCAAAUGUGCUGGAUGUGAGUGUGUGUAAACGGUUUGUUUUUAAUGGUUGAAAUUCUUCUUUGUCAACAAACAUAAAAUUUAACUUUUUUAUUACUUUUUUACUUGUUUUAUAAAACGAUCAAUUUUUCAAGUAAAACGAUUUACAAAAUAAGCUUUCAACGCAUGACGGUUCUUUAGGCAGAAGCUUGUUUCGUGAUGCAGUUGUAUAUAUUUGAGUCGUUGCAUGGGGUUGGAUAGAAAACCGCAUGCUGUUUUCAAUGUGUAUGCCAAUACAAAACAGAAAACUCACAAAUCAGUCACUUCAAAAGUGUGUGUGAAAAAUUCUUUUCACGGUGUUUUUAAUUAAUUCCUGAAGGCUUAUAACAAAUGAAAGAGUACGAUAUUCUAAAUUGUAUGUUAAUAGAAUAUCUUUUUUUAUAAAUUAAUCAUUGAGCAGGUGCAGUAAGAAUAAAUAUAUAUCUAUUACAGUAUAAAUCAGUUAUAUGGGUUAUAAAUUAAUUGUGAAUGUGGAAGAAAAUUGUUAUGACUUUCACAAUUUCUAACAAAUAACAUUAUGUUUACAUAAACGAUUGCAAAAAUAAUUUGAGAAUUUAUCUUGAAUGAAUAGUCAUGUAAUUCUUUUAAUGAUUGAAGCAGUUUAAAAUCGAUUGAUAUGUUUUGUUGUAUAACAUUUUAUAUUAAUAUCUUUUAUCAAAUAUAUAUAUAUUUAGACAAUCCCUUUGCUGCAAAAUAUACGAAUUAAAAGCAGGUGCAAAUGUUGAAUUGGUAUCAGUUAUUUUGUUUUGUUAUUCCGUUGUUGAUUUAUAUAUUGUAAUAAAAUG